UGAACCUGCGGAGGGAUCAUU
rnacentral:rRNA from 6 species